rnacentral:rRNA from 1 species
UGGGGAAUUUUGCACAAUGGGGGGAACCUUGAUGCAGCGACGCCGCGUGAGGGAUGGAGGCCUUCGGGUUGUGAACCUCUUUCGCUCGUGUGCAAGCCGCUAUUUGGGUAGUGGUGAGUGUAGCGGGUAAAGAAGCGCCGGCUAACUACGUGCCAGCAGCCGCGGUAAUACGUAGGGCGCGAGCGUUGUCCGGAUUUAUUGGGCGUAAAGGGCUUGUAGGCGGUUUGUCGCGCCGGUCGUGUAAUCCUCUGGCUUAACUGGGGGUGGGCAGUGGGUACGGGCAGGCUUGAGUGCGGUAGGGGAGAUUGGAAUUCCUGGUGUAGCGGUGGAAUGCGCAGAUAUCAGGAGGAACACCGGUGGCGAAGGCGGGUCUCUGGGCCGUUACUGACGCUGAGGAGCGAAAGCGUGGGGAGCGAACAGG